AGUAAGGGUGUUUCCACGGCCCAUAUUCCAAUUCAGAUGUCUGCCCUUUUCUAGCGCGUACAUACAAGCAAGGGAAGAGUUAUCAAGUGUACUGAAUAGAGAUUGUAAACUCAAAAUCACAGUUUUUUUUGGGUUUCGUACUUCAGAAUCAGCAUCUGUAUUUUGCAGCUCAUCAUUUCUUUCUUCUUCAGGUAGCCAGCGACUAGACAGCUUUGGAUGAUAUACUGAUGGCACUUCUUCCUACGUCAUCUUUUGGAUUGUCGUCAGAGUCCUUGGAACAAAGUGGGAAGCAGAUGGCAAACACAAACACGGAAGCACUAGCACCUCUCUCCCUGCAAAGCUCAAAUUCUUCACAGGGACCAGUGGCAAUUCUUUGGGACAUCGAGAACUGUCCUGUUCCAAGUGAUGUACGCCCUGAGGAUGUUGCUGGCAACAUCAGAAUGGCUCUGCGGGUACAUCCUGUGAUCAGAGGAGCAGUUACAAUGUUUUCUGCCUUUGGAGAUUUUAAUGCUUUCCCCAGGCGAUUAAGAGAGGGCUGCCAGAGAACUGGUGUUAAACUUAUAGAUGUCCCCAAUGGCAGGAAAGAUGCAGCCGACAAGGCCAUCUUGGUUGACAUGUUCCUUUUUGCUCUUGACAAUCCCCCACCCUCGUCCAUUAUGCUAAUAUCAGGAGAUGUUGAUUUUGCUCCCGCACUUCACAUUCUUGGUCAACGUGGAUACACUGUGAUCCUUGUCAUUCCUGGGGGGGUUGGCGUUUCGUCUGCUCUAUGUAAUGCAGGGAGGUUUGUAUGGGACUGGCCAAGUGUGGCUCGAGGUGAAGGUUUUGUGCCCCCUGCAAAGGCCUUGAUUCCUUGUCGUGGUGGUGGUGUCUCAGACAUUGCUGGGAUUCUAAUGGGUUGUUGCCAGAUAAAUGACAGCCCAUAUGGUCAGAAUGAAGAUGAAGCAAUAGUGUAUAGGGGCCUCUCACAAAGCUACUAUAAUGCAAGGGAUUUCUCAAUGAUAUCACAUUCGCUGGCUGAGUAUAAUAGCACUUCAAUUUCCACGCCAUGUUAUCCUACGGGUAUGGGAACUCAGAGUCUUCCACCUGGUUUAAAUGAAGUUUCAGCUGGAGGUCCAUCUUCACAUGACCAGAGUGACUUGACGUGGGUGCAGCCUGGGGAUGUAAAUGGUUUGAAGUGUCAGCUGGUGAAGCUGCUUGAAUUAUCUGGCGGCUGCUUGCUUCUUACACGUGUUCCUGCUGAAUACCAGAGAAUUUAUGGGAGGCCACUGUAUGUUUCAGAAUAUAGGGCAGUUAAGCUCGUGAAUCUUUUCAAGAAGAUGAGUGAUGCAAUAUCUGUUGGGGGGAAAGGCCAAAAGAAGUUUGUCUACCUCCAUAAUUCUUGUGCUGUACCAAGUGCUCCUCCCAUAACUAUAUUAAAGAGGGAUAAAGGAAAAGGAACACAAGAGGGAAAUGCCGAAGUUGUGACUGGGGUUGGAUCUUCGGAUGAGUUCUCGGAUGAUGAAAGAGCACUCAUAGAAGAGCAUGGAAGGAGUGGUGAGAAAUCUGAUAUGGGUGCAACAGUUGAAAAAAGUCUUGAAAAUUUCAAGUUUGAGCUUCAAGAGAUACUUGUGAGCUACUCUUGUCGGAUUUUUCUUGGUUGCUUUGAGGAAAUAUAUCAACAAAGGUACAAGAGGCAACUGGACUACGAGAGCUUUGGAGUGGCUGAACUUGAGCAGCUACUAGCAAAGGUGAAAGAUGUAGCGAUUGUGCAAGAGGAGCCAGUUAGCAAGAGGAAGUUUCUGGCUGCUGUUGGUGGCUAGAAGUGUUUGUCGUUUCAUUUCCUGACUAUUUACUAUCUUAACUCCUUGAGACUUGAGCUUAAGCCUUGUGCAUUGGAGGGAUGUUGAAGUUAAAGGACUCCCCAUUCUAACGCUUCCAUGAUGGUGUCAAUUAUGGCAGGCCAGUCUUGCAAAAGCAGAUCAUUUUUGUCACUUCUUUCAAUUGGGUGAUGGUUUGUGUAGCGUAUUGAAGCUCCUGCAGAAGUCUGUGAUGGCAAGUAUAGUAAACUUUGGUUUGGGAAAUACGUGAAGGGUAAAGGUCCCAAAUGUGAUCGAUUGCUUACCUCGUAUUACCAUCCAUAUCUGAAAUGAGCUUUAAGUGCAUGUCGAGCAGCUAUAAAGGAUUGAAUCUGGUCGCUUGAACAUCUAAAUGGGUGGAGAUAUGCAACCGACUGUACAAGGAUUAGUUGGCUAUCAGCAGCAAUAUGGAAUAGAGUUGUAGAGUCCAUAUGAUUGCGCAUCAUAUACAGUAGCUUGAAUAGUUGGUCGAGGACUUCAGUCAUAUAGUUGUAUGCACUUUGAUAUUGUUACUUGAGGUGUAAAGUUUGUCAUGAAACUCCAGCUGUGUUUAUCCUUUGGAUUGUUUCAUUCUGUGGACAAUCAUGGCAAUAGUCUAAUCACAUGGUUUGGAUAUUUAGGUUCGACAUUGGCAGGGGGCACUUGCUCCAUGUAACUGAUGCUUGCUACAUGCAGAAGCAUCAUAAUUGGGUUCUGAAACAAAUAUCCUCUCCGAAGGUUGUGGUUUUGCCA